ensembl:lncRNA novel transcript, antisense to TP53TG3
CUCCUGGGGUGCAGAGAAUUUGUGACAGCCUAGAGAACAGAGGAAAUGGUUUUGAAAAGGCAAAUGGCAGUGCCUGAACCAUAAGGCACAAGGAAUGAGCCCCUCAUCGUGAGAGUGCAUGUGACAGGAGCAAAGGAAGCGGCAGCUCAGGAAAGACAAGGUCACUGUUCUUGCUCCCAUGACGGUAGCACUUGUUAGAGCAACUGAGUGACGUGCAUAAUUCUCUCCAAAGUAAAAGUCCUUUUUGUUUUUUGCAAUUUUA